GACGAACGCUGGCGGCGUGCUUAACACAUGCAAGUCGAACGGUGAAGCGCCUUCCUUUUUGGUGGGUGUGGAUGAGUGGCGAACGGGUGAGUAACACGUGAGUAACCUGCCCCCUUCUUCUGGAUAACCGCAUGAAAGUGUGGCUAAUACGGGAUAUUCUGGGUCUGUCGCAUGAUGGGUCUGGGAAAGAUAUUGUUUCGGUGGGGGAUGGGCUCGCGGCCUAUCAGCUGGUUGGUGGGGUGAUGGCCUACCAAGGCGGUGACGGGUAGCCGGCCUGAGAGAGUGGACGGACACAGUGGGACUGAGACACGGGCCAGACUGGGACGGGGGGCAGCAGUGGAGAAUAUCGCACGAGGGGAGCAAGGCUGAUGCAGCGACGCCGCGUGGGGGAUGGAGGCCUUGGGGUGGGGAACCUCUUUCGCCAGGGAAGCAGACGUGCCUCGUUUGGGGGUGGGUUGGCGGGAGCUGGAUAAGAAGCGCCCGCUAAAUACGUGC
rnacentral:rRNA from 1 species